CAGCAGGCGAUCAUUUGCUGCAACUACAAACAGACGGGCCGUAUAGCUCGGAGUUGCAGAGAGAGCCGCAGCGUAACGUGUUGGGAAGGAGUGGAGGUGGUCUUGGCUUCCACACGUGGCAGGUGGGGUAGCAUGCCUCAACAGACAGGCGGUAGCUGCAGUGCAGUGAUGCCGUGUAUUUGUUUUGCUGCAAGAUAAGAACCACUAGCUAUUGUCUGACUCCGAAGCGGCUAGUAUUGGUGUACCUGAGUCAGGGCCUCUGCCAAGCUCUGGUAGACUUAAGAAACACAGUCGGCUAGGCACCACUGUCACCUGUGGAUGGUGAAGGAAUGCCGGAUGAAGCCGGAACAUCCAGUGGUGCACGCCAGCGCAGGAGUACAGAGGGCAGGGAACAUGAGGAUACAGUAUGGCCUUCGGAGUGGUGAUGCAGGAAGGAGGAUAGGAGGUCGCAUGUAUGUGGCUGUCACUGAUCCGAACUCUAUUGAAGAAUUGGCGACGGUGACGGCUAACGCUGAUUGUUAUUCCGGAAGGAUUGCCGGUGGCGAAGAUAUUUAGCACGAUAAACUGUUACAAGUAAUGUAAAGAGUAUUGUUAGCGUUCGGCAGGACUUGAGGAGAUUCCUGGUAGGAAUACCGAUCGUUGUGAGAUAAACUAAUAGGCGCAGUCACCGCCCUAAAU
rnacentral:lncRNA from 1 species